rnacentral:lncRNA from 1 species
UACAUUUUCUCUACAGAUACUCCAAUUCUUAUUUGCAAGUACUGAGGUGAAUUAAAAAUAAGAAGAUUGUAUUGGCCUCAUUCCUUUGUGCCGUACCACCAACUUGGAACUCACUGUGCUUUAAGAAAAGGAAGCAUGGGAGACGAAGGAUGGACAGGCUGACAAGUUUAAUGGAAGCUUCCAAGUCAAUGAACCAAGCCACUUGAGAACAAAAGCUUGAGGAUGGAAUAAGUAGAAGGUGGAGAUGUGGCUGCUGAUUCUGGGGACUUGGACUUCUGUUUAUGAAAGUGAGUUGAAAUGCAACCCUCACUCCUC